GGCUGGUUAGCUCAGUGGGUUGAGCGCGGUGCUACCAACAGUGACAACAGUGGGGUCGUGGGUUCGAUUCCCACUCAGUCC
rnacentral:tRNA from 1 species